UGUUGAACGGGUGAAAUCUACAAAGAAAUAAACCACACGGAUAGCCAACUGGGCCGUUGAUCUGCUACAACCAUCCGACGAUGUAAAAUGAAAGCACACGGAUCACCCCAUUGUUGUUCGUCUACAUCUAUGCGUAUAACCCCUCCUUAAACAAAUCUCCUUUUCCAGUACUCUCGAAACAAAACCUAACGGCCGACACCAACACCCCUUACGUUAUCCACCCAUAAUAUUUGCUCUUUUCAUUUCUCCAUCGUCUCUCCCCAUUCAAAAUCUGCAACAUCAGCCGACAUCAAUACCAGUCGGCUCCUCUUCAAACUACCAUUAAGAACCACCAUGAUCUCUUCCACUCCCUUUAUCACAUCGGAGAGCUUCUCUCUCUUCUUCGUUAUUGAUCUUGUCAAAACCCUAGAUCUAAAAACAAAUCCAUCUUAAGAUUUGUUGGUUCGAUUUUAGUUUCUACCAAUUCUGUUAGUCGCUGCCUUGCUCCAACACAGUUACAGUUGCUCAUAUCUAUGCACCAACACACAUGAAUUAAGUUUCCUAUAUCGUGACACAAAAGCAAGGUUAUUAGAUCCAGUUAUUGUUUGUCUUACCUGGUUAGAAGUUCCUUAUUUUAUUGAGUUUUUAUGUAUGUUUUUUGUUUGUUCUCUUAUGGAUUUCUACUCUAACCUAACCCUCUUGCCCAUGUCUCUGUAUUCUACUGAAGAGUGCAAGGAAUAUAUGGAAGAAAGUAGACACAGAUUAGGCAAUGACUUUUAAACAUUGAAUUCUUUACAAAUAUGUUUGUUUCUUCUUCGAUUAUGCUAUUUUUCAAGCAUUUAAACCAUGUUUGCAUUAUUUAUGUCUCCAUCUUUGUACAUGGGUUUAAUACAUGUAUCUAAUAGGGCUCAUGUUUUUGUUUUCAGAUUUAGCUGACUUCAUCACCCUCUGUUCCUAGAUAUGUUCUUGGACUUGAUUUUUUUUUUUUUUUUUUGUAUAUUUUGUUUUCAUGUAUUAAUAAAAAGCUAUCUAUACAUGAAUAAAAAAUGAAAUCUUCAAUGUUUGGCCA